AUGCUACUCCCGAGCCUGCUGAGGGUGGUCAUAGCCUCCAUCUGCCUUGGAUCCAGCAUGUCCCGGGAAGUAACUCAAGCCCAAGCUUCAAUUUCUGCGCUGGAGAAGGAGGAUGUGACCUUGGAUUGUGAAUAUAAAGCUCCUUCCUUCAGUUAUUAUUUAUUCUGGUACAAGCAACCAUCAAGUGGGGAAAUGAUUUUCCUUAUUGAUCAGGAGUCUUAUAAUGAGCAAAGUGCAAUGAAGGGUCGGUAUUCUCUGAACUUCCAGAAGUCAGCCAGUUCCAUCAAUCUCACCAUCACAGCCUUGCAACUUGGGGACUCAGCGGUGUAUUUUUGUGCUCUGAGGGAUGCCACAGUGACAUAG